rnacentral:tRNA from 1 species
GCUACGGACUGAAAAUCCGUUGGCUUUAAAGACCGUGAGGGUUCAAGUCCCUCUACCCCCA